UACGUAGGGGGCAAGCGUUGUCCGGAAUCAUUGGGCGUAAAGAGCGUGUAGGCGGCCCGAUAAGUCCGCUGUGAAAGUCCAGGGCUCAACCCUGGGAUGCCGGUGGAUACUGUCGGGCUCGAGUCCGGAAGAGGCGAGUGGAAUUCCUGGUGUAGCGGUGAAAUGCGCAGAUAUCAGGAGGAACACCGAUGGCGAAGGCAGAUCUCUGGGCCGUAACUGACGCUGAGGAGCGAAAGCAUGGGGAGCGAACAGG
rnacentral:rRNA from 1 species